rnacentral:lncRNA from 1 species
CCCAAUCCCUGCCCUUAGUCUGCUCUAGAGCAUCUAGGGGUUUAUGGGGGAGAGUUAGGGAGUGAGGAAGGUACCGCUUGAUGGGUCAUGAUCCAGUAUUUUCCUCUGGGUUUGGUGGACGCUUGUUACUCAUACUGAGUAUUAACUACUGUUCUCUUAAUACAGUUGCUGCCCCUUCAAAUCAGCCGCUUACAACUCCAGAUAUCAAUGUUCAGCCUUUCAUGGGGUUGUCUUGCUGUGCGGUUCCCACGAGGACUUCCUGGGCAGAGCUUUGCAUAUCAUGAUAUAUUCUGGCAACUUUCUGCAGGGUCCAUAUGGAACCCAAGGGAAACCUGAAACCCAGGCAUUUCCCACACAGCCAUGUCUCCUGCUUCUACUCUCUGGGUCACUGGCCCUUCACCGCCUCUCUGGUGGCUUUCUCAAGGCUUGGAGCCAGUCCCAGUCCGGCCUUUAGACAGAAGAUCGAGCUCUCUGAGCUGUCAUUCUGAAGCCCCCCACAGGCAAACCACACCGGAGCCUGCCUUGUGUGCCUUGCAGGAUAGAGGUAGAUUUCAAAAGGGGUCUUGGAAGAAAAGAGGCUUCUCAAACUCUGACGUCUAUAGAAUUGUUGUACGUUAUUCUUAACAAUAUCCUUUUUAAUGUAAGUCAG